rnacentral:lncRNA from 1 species
UUUGCGUCACGUUGGGGGGGCGGGGCUGGCGCCCCAACCUCCCUCCCUAUAGGUUCUGGCUCAUGUGGGCCACGCCCCCUGCUCUCUGCGAGUGGGAUGUUGCGGCUCUACCAGAAAUAGACAAGGACUAGUAUAGAGUCCUGAAGUCCGAGACGCUGCGGGCGAGGCUGCACAGAUCCGGUUCCUGAACCAUUGAUUCCCGCGUGGCUGCACCUUCCCGACCUAGGCCAGUUCUGGGAGGCUUGCUGUCCACGAACCAACGCCAGGGAAGGAUGCCCCAGGAGUGUGUUUUUUUCAGCUGCUGCGCGGGGCAGGAAAACUUCCUGGCGGGUAAAUACUGGGCGCUGGAUCCACGAGGAGAUGCAGUGUUUUAUCUAUCUAUGGGUGGGCGACAUGUCCUUUUUCAACUUGUUGCCUUUGCUCAAGCUUUCUCUCCACUUGGAACAUGUUUCUGACACUUAGCCUCCACGAGUGGAAACUGUUCUCCAAGGAAGAGCUCCUAGAUCGUCUAGCCGGAAGUCCCCUCUUUCAGGCUCUGAACCUGCAGCUUGUGUUAGCAAAGGACAUGCAUGUCACUUAUCACUUCCCACUUAAUUCUAUAGCUGUAUGUGCCUGCCUGGUCGCCCCAGUUAGACUGUAAGCUCCAUGAGGGCAGUGUCCCGGGGUUGCUUUUGCCCUUGUAUCCCUGGCAGCAGCCGCACAGAGCAGUAUGUGAAAGGAAGAUAGAGUUAUGACUAAACUUUGGUAUUCGACAGCUCUUGCUUGGCCUAGUCAGUGUGUGAUCUUCGGCGUUUCUAAGUCUGUUUUCUCGUCUAUAAAACGAAGGCAGUAAUACCUUUUUUGGUUGUUGCUAGGGUUGAAUGAGGCAAAACAUGCCAGAAUCUUAGUGCACGGCCUCACGCGUGUUAAGCGCUCAGUACGUGUCAACGACUGCUUUUCUGUAUGGGAGGUCAAGCAGUGUUUGUUGACUGCAUUGGUGGUGCGUGGCUGGAGUGUGGCACAUACUGAGAGCAGGAUCUGUCCUCACAAGGGAGGUGACCCAGCCUUGGCAGCCUUCUUUUCCACCUAUUGAAAUCAGGAGCCUGAAUGUAGGCCUUGCCUCUCCGACAGGCUUUUAAAAUUUCUCUACCUACACGCCUUCUGGCACCUUCAUGAGGCCCUGGUUGUUUUCUGGGGGAGUCUAUACAGUCCCCCACAGAUUCUGGAAACUCUGAGCUGGAAACUCUGGGACCAUCUUCUCCCACAAUAGGCAUUUGCUCGCUACCAGGCCUAGCCCAGUGAGGAGCAGCGGGCGCUGCUUUGAGGGCCACAGAAAGACCCGUGUGCAGCGCUGGCCUUAAAAAAAUAGGGAACGGUUCCAGCUCAACCGUGGCUGUCCUCAUCCGGCCCCAGCCAAUCCAAGCAUUUUUUGGCGGUCAGGAUGGCGGAGCUGAAAGAGACCCGUCUCACCUGGAAGGGGCAGGUGAAAGGUGCAGGGACGGUGGACAUUGCCUCCGAGCGGCAUAAGACACCGGCUGGGAGUGGGUACGAGGGUGGAGGGCUGCCACGCGGGUCCCGCAACGGCGACAGGAGUGGGUGCCCAAGGUUGAAGGGAGAAAGAACAGCCUGUCGGGAGGUGGGAGAGGCGGGGCUCUGCAGAAGGGAGCGGAACUGUUGUGGAGAGGCAGCCCCUGGGUCCGCCCGGGGAGCUGGGAUGCCGCGCGGGCCACGUGCGCCCCGGAGUACUUAGGGUAGCGGCGGCCCGCAGGCAGUAGGGAGAGACCCUCUGUGGGCAGGGUCUUGUGCUGGAACCGCCAUUCCUCAGCCACAGGGGCGCCCGGUGUCUUUCUGCUUUAAAUCCUGAAACUAUUGACGCCCCAGGCGGAGACCAGUGUCUACAAACCAGGCGCGCUAUCUACUCGAAACUGUCUGCUCUCAACCGUAAACCGGCUCCGUGGGAUCUCAGCCUCCUAGGACGUAGAAAGCUUCCUCCAAAUCUCCCCGGGGGUCACGUUGGCACAAACACCUUCAAACCGUCUGAGAACGAAAAAGACCUUUCUCACUUGGAAAGAAACGUUUACUGCAGUCUUGUUUAAGUAACAUGUUUAAGUAACGUCUUAUGCGGCCUUCGCCGCGUCCAGCCUGGAGGUCCGGGCCUUCGGUCGGCACUGGGAGAGCGAUCCCCAAGGUUCCGCUAGACCUUCGCUGCGUCAGCGGACGGCCAGGUCUGCGGGCCUAGCCCCCCGAUUGCCCUUGGCCCCUGAAGCUGCAGGGACGCCCAGCCAUCACCACUGCCCCGGCGCAGUUCCUGCUCGGCUCGCCUGACCCUGCGGAGAUGUGGGGGUCGGGUGGGGCCGUGGGCUGCUGGCCUUGCUCAGAAUCAGCCAGGGAACAGCAGAGAGGGCCGAGGCACCAGGCGGGUGCGGCGCGCCAGGACGCACGCCACAGGGGUCAGAAGGAGUGGCGCUCCCUAGGAACCAGGUCCAGGCUCUGGACCUCGCAGCCUCGCCUGCAUGUCAGGUCGGAGUCCCCGGUUCGGUACCUCCAGGUUGCAGCGACUGUAAGGGCCCCAAGCCUCAUUGUGCCCUGCCUGGUACUGGCGCCCCGUCUCCAAGCCCGUGCACGUAGGGCCUAGCAGUGCUGGGCUUUUUCCUGGGGCAUCUCUCUCCAUCCGCCCGCCAAGGGCCUGGGGCCCUAGCGAAGAGGACUAGGGAGACUUGGUUGGCCCGCACAAGGGCUGCUCAGGAAAAUGCCCAUGCAUCCCUGGGCUUGUGAAAGGGAAGCUACUCUGUGCCCUGUUCCAACUGUCUGAAGAGAACCAGAACAGAGCUGGAGGUGACCAUGAGGCCUGGGCCCCAGGCAUCCCUGAGAGCAGAUGGGGGCUCCCAGACCAGGAACACCCACCCCCACUGCACCACACACAG